AUUUGAUCGACGGCUUUUCGGGAGUCUAAGAAGCUCCCGAGAAUAAGGGCUGGGCAAGUCUGGUGCCAGCCGCCGCGGUAAUACCAGCAGCCCAAGUGGUGGUCGCGUUUAUUGGGCCUAAAGCGCUCGUAGCCGGGCUUGCAAGUCCCUUGUGAAAUCGGACGGCUCAACCGUUCGGCGUGCAAGGGAUACUGCUGGCCUUGGGAUCGGGAGAGGUCGGGGGUACUUCAGGGGUAGCGGUGAAAUGCUGUAAUCCCUGGGGGACCACCAGUGGCGAAGGCGCCCGACCAUAACGGAUCCGACGGUGAGGGGCGAAGGCUAGGGGAGCGAACGGGAUUAGAUACCCCGGUAGUCCUAGCUGUAAAGGAUGCGGGCUGGGUGUCAGGUGCCCUUCGAGAGCACCUAGUGCCGUAGGGAAGCCGUUAAGCCCGCCGCCUGGGAAGUACGGUCGCAAGGCUGAAACUUAAAGGAAUU
rnacentral:rRNA from 1 species